AAAAUCCUGAAGCGCUCGUUAAGAUUAUAUAAUUUAUCCAACACUUAAAUUCACGGGAAUCCGGGUUUUCAAGAAGAUGGCGAGCCGUUUCGGACGGAGGGCAGACGCGCGAAACAGGGUACCCACUUAUCUCAGGUAAGGUUGUGAAUUCGUGAUCUGACGGCACAUUCGGGAUUUUU
rnacentral:sRNA from 1 species